rnacentral:rRNA from 1 species
CCUACGGGUGGCAGCAGUGGGGAAUAUUGCACAAUGGAGGAAACCCUGAUGCAGCGACGCCGCGUGCAUGAUGACGGAUUUCUGUGUGUAAAGCUCUAUCAGCAGGGAGGAAAAUGACGAUACCUGAAUCAGAAGCCCCGGCUAACUCCGUGCCAGCAGGCGCAGUACUACGUAGGGGGCAAGCGUUAUCCGGAUUUACUGGGUGUAAUGGGGGCGUAGACGGCUGGAGAAGUCUGGAGUGAAAUGUCGGGGCUCAACCCCGGAACUGCCUUGGAAACUGUGUAACUAGAGAACAGGAGGGGCAGGCGGAAUGUCUGGUGUAGCGGUGAAAUGCGUAGAGAUCAUACGGAACACCGGUGGCGAAGGCGGCUUGCCGGACUAAAUCUGACGUUGAGGCACGAAAGCGUGGGUAGCAAACAGGAUUAGAUACCCCAGUAGUC